GCAUGGUUCUUAAAUCUUGCGGGUGUCAUGCUCUGGAUGGCUGUCAGGGUGGCCUAUUGAACAUGAUUAACUUGACUGAUGGAAAGAGAAAAAUAACCUGGAAACAUCUGGCAAAUAGUUAAAGGUAGCACCCACAGACAUGUCCAUGGAUUUGUGGCCCUCAUUAUAUGCACCAACCCCUUUUCUUCAGCUGGAGUGUUAAAAUUGCCUGAU